rnacentral:rRNA from 1 species
UACAGAGGGGGCGAGCGUUGUUCGGAAUUACUGGGCGUAAAGGGCGCGUAGGCGGCCAACUAAGUCGGACGUGAAAUCCCCGGGCUCAACCCGGGAACUGCGUCCGAUACUGGGAGGCUUGAAUCCGGGAGAGGGAUGUGGAAUUCCAGGUGUAGCGGUGAAAUGCGUAGAUAUCUGGAGGAACACCGGUGGCGAAGGCGGCAUCCUGGACCGGUAUUGACGCUGAGGCGCGAAAGCUAGGGGAGCAAACGGG